AAAGGACAAGUAUGCAGUUCAAAAUUCAAAAUGUGGAUAAGUUGAGGUUCUAGGUCUUACCUUUGCAGAUUUUCAUAUUUUGCAUGAAUGAAUUCAAAGGUUAUAUGAUGGACAGCAGAGAAAGAAAAAAACAACUUUUCAAUUAUCCUGCUCCUGGAUAAAUGUAAAACAUCUUGUUUUUCGGUAAGUUUUAUGCUCUGUUUUGAUAGUGUUAGUGCAUUCAUCUUUCCAGUCUUUCCUCUAAAUUGUAAGUUUUUGGUGAGUGUUCACCAUGAAUUUCAGUAAGUAACUUGUGGAUUUACAUGUAUAUACUCAAAAUUUAGUACUAAUAUUAAUGGGAUUUUAGCAUGACAUCCUGCCAAAUGCUUGUUAAUCAUGUUUAUGUUCCAGAACAAACAAGUAUUUGGACUGUACGCAUACAGUCUGCCCAAUUUUAAGAAGUUGGUCAAGUUUAUUACAAACAAAUGUACAGUACAGAUCAACAUAACUGAAAUCUUUAAUAGAUUAAUACAAAAAGUUUAAUUGCAGUUAAAAUAAAAACACAGGUUUGGUUGAGCUGGUACCAGACAGUACAAGUAUACUUAAAUGGUCUGACUGUACACAUAUGGUGGGACUGUAAGUUCUGGACCAUAAAAGUAAGAUCCGAAUACUGAUAUGGUCUGGAACAUUUAUACAUGUCUUAAAAUUAAUAUCAAACACAUUGGUGUUUUUGAACUUGGUAAUAAGUUAUGUGAUAGAACUAUAAUGUUUUGGGAUAUCAAAAUCAAAAAUAUCCCAUUUUUACUUUUAAUAAAGAAGAAGAUUAUUGAUGUAUGUUUAAAUGUAUAUUUAAAAUGAGACAGCAAGCCAACAACACAAAAAAAAGGAUAAAACAUACAUAUUUUGUUUGUAUCAAUGUUAUAAUUUCCAAUAUGUUCAAGGUAUUUUUUCAUUGAAAUAAAACACAAAUUGAAAUCUGUCUGAACUUCAAAAGCUUAAAGAAAUAUUGUUUCUGUUGUCUGCAUUUUGUAUAAUAUAUUGCAAAUUCUUGUGAAUAAUGGAAUGUUAUUAUAGUUGUCUAAAGUUUUAACUUUUAACAUUGAUCUUUAUACUGUAAAAUUCAUAAAUUAUUGCGUGCAUUUAUUAUUGCGAUUCUGUCAUUUUAGACUUAAAUGCGAUUUUAAAUUUUACGAUUUUGAAAAAAUCCUGUUUAAUCCAUAUAAAAUAUUUCAUAAUACGAGUUUAAAUUAUUGCGUUUACAACUCCGUUGCAUUUUUCGCAAUAAAAAAAAACUUGCAUUAAUUCCGAAUUUACAGUAUAUAUAUAUAUAUUAUGUAUAUAACUUGGGAAAAUACCCAAAUUUUAUAAAGAAGAAUAAAUUAAUUGAUUGUUAUAUGGUAUUAGAAUAGGAAGAUGUGGUAUAUUGCUAAUUUGACAACCCUCCAUCAGAGACCAAAGGAUGUAGGCCGUUAGCAACUGAUGACACUGGACAACCUUUAACAAUCAGUAAAAUCCAUACCGCAUAGCUAUUUUUAUUGAAAAUCAUAUUAUUGCUACAUGUAUGAAAACAAUUUUGUAUAAUCCAUUACUUUAGAUUUUAUUGGUUCUUUUUCAGAAGGAUUGAAAUUCACCACCUAAAAUAAAUGGAGAAAACAUAGAAACAAGACCAGAAUAAAUUCAAAGAAAAAAAGUUGGAUCAGUUAUUAUUUUCAUCACUCAGUCAAUGAUUUGAAGUUCUUUUAAAUUCAAAAAAAAUAUUGAAACCACAAUAAUGUCAAAGUUCUGUGCUGAAUGUCCAAAAAGUGGACUAUACCAUCAAACAAUGCUGGAUGAUAAGAAACUAUUAAUGUUUUGUGUGUUGAGGGAUAUUGUGAAAAAAAUAGAUUUACUUAAAUAGCUACUAGUAUGUUAAGCCUAACAAUAGAGUUUUUAUUGAUUUCAAAUGGCAAAUAAUUGUGUUUCAAGAAAGUAUUCUAUAAUUCAUGAAUAAACAUAUAUUGAUACUUACAUUAUCUGCUUUGUUGUUUAAAAGUUUAGUUUUGAACAGUUAAAGAACAAUAUGCUAAAUUAACAUUUCCCAAGAAAAAAAGAUAUUCAAUUAAAAAGAUUCAUCUUAUAAUAAUUUACUACCAAAUAGAAUACAUUGUAACAUACACAUUACUGUUUAUUUAUAUCUAUAUAUUUACAAUUAGAAUCCCAUAGGAUUUUAAUUUGUCCCAUGGGAUAUUAAAAAUCCCAUGGGAUAUAAAAAAUCCCAUGGGAUUUUUUUUGUCCCAUGGGACAACAAAUAUCCCAUGGGACUACAAUAAUCCCAUGGGACAAAAAAAAAUCCCAUGGGAUUUAACCAAAAUCCCAUGGGAUAAUGGUAAAUCCCAUGGGAUUUUGCCCUGUCCCAUGGGAUAUUGAAAAUCCCAUGUUUUUAUAAUUCAAAUUGCAAAAUAAAUAUGAAAGUAACUGUAGAAAACCAAUGAAAUUAUUGAAUCCCAUGUAAUUCUGCACAUUUUGGUUAUAUACAUGAUAUUGUAGCUCUUGUUUGAGGCGGCGGCGGAUUUGCAAAUGAGUGUUUUGCAAAUUAAAGUGUCGUGUUUAAAAAUGUGGACCAGUAAUUAAUUCUUUGCACGAGUUUGAAAAGGGAAAUACAUACUUUAAAAGAAUUUAUAUUAAUUAAGUUUUGUAUAUGAAAUCCGUUCUUAACGGUAAAAGCCGUACUUUUCAAACAAUCAAACUCAUAUACAUGUAGUUAGAUGUUAUUUCUUAUUUUUAUCGAACUUGUCCAGGAAUUUUAUUUUUGAGUUAUACGAAUAUUUUAAGAAAUCCGUUUUAAUUAAGUUUUUUUUCUCUUAUUAAAGUGGUUUUGUCCAGUUUCACAAGCCUGAAACGAAUUUCAAUGCGAAAAUAAAUGAACUUGUCUCCGUUUUCGUCUCCGUUUUUUGAAAAUUAUGAUAUUUUGGGUAUAAUUAUUUCUAAAAAAAUAUGUAAGUUAGAUUGUAGUAGCGAGAAAUUAUAAAAAAAAGAAGAUGUGGUAUGAUUGCUAAUGAGACAACUAUCCACAAAAGACCAAAAUGACACAAACAUUAACAAAGAAAGACUAUUUCGAAGACAGUUUAUUGACACGAAAUCCGUUCAAACCACGACUAAGUCUUCGUGCACAGAUUACCGUUAAGGUUAAACUGAAUAUUGUACAUAAUUGUCUUCUCUUGUAUAAUGGUUUGUUGAGAAUAAAGAUAUACAAAUGUAAUAAAAUUUGAUAUUCAGUCAACAUUGUGUUUGUUUAAAAACUUGAUUAAGAGAGAGAGAGAGAGAGAGAAAAGAAUCACACUGAAAAACAAAAAUCGAACUUGUUACAGAAAAAAACGCAACUAUAAAAUAAUUUUCUUUAUUCGUGAACUGCAAAACACAACAAAUUAAUUUACCCGUCAUCAUGAAAAAUAAACUGAAAAAGCACAUCGAAUGAGAUAUAUAUUUUAUUUUUUCUAUAUGCAAAUUCAUGUUAAAGGUAAAACUGAACUAAACAAUACAAUUCCUUAAAGAUAAUCCAAUCAAUUUUGUUGAUUGGAUAAUUCAUGGCUCAGUAGUUGUGUAAUCAGUGACACGUGCCCUCAUUAUUUUAUAAGAAUUAACAUAUCUAUCUAAGUUCGAUUCAGGCGCGGAUCCAGAGGGGGGAGGGGGGUUCCGGGGGGUUUGGAACCCCCUUUUUUUGGCCGAUCAAUGCAUUUGAAUUGGGACAUGUAGUUGAACCCCCCCCCUUUUUGUGUCCUGGGUUAGGACCCCCCUUUUUUAAAAUGGCUGGAUCCGCCCCUGCGAUUUCAACUUCUACCAAAAUUUAACUCUAAAAUAAGAAGCGUAUAACGAAUAUAAACAUCCAUCAUGUGUGCAGAUAUGAUUACGGUAAUGGGUCCUGGGUGCACUUUGUAUGUCCUGAGCCGUUGUUUAGACGUACCCGAAGAAAAAAUCAUUUCCUGAACCUAAAAUACAUUUAUCUGUAAUUAAAGAAAAUUCGCCUAAAACAUUCUCUCAUAUAUUUAAACAAUUAAUUGUAAAAUAAUUAAUUCAACGUCGAACUUUCUGUCUGUUUACUAAUACUUUUCUUGUUCAGUUUAGUUUAUAUACCCAUAAUAGAUGAACGGAAAUAAGUACUUUUUUAGGAAAAUUUACAACUAGAUGAACGGAAUUAAGUACUUUUUAGGAAAAUUUACAACUCAAAUUUUCAAAAACAAAAUUCUACACUUUUUACUUGGAUGUUUUUCUCUGUCUCGAAGCCGCAACCGUUGGCCCCGUAUCAAACGUAGCGACCAACACCUCACAUGACGUAUUCUCGAUGUUGAGGUAUUGACAAUAUACAAUCACAUUUAUCAAUAUACAGCAGCCAAGUAAGUAAUUUGGUGUUGAAUGCCAGUAGAUCAGAAUUUGUUAAUUGAACUUUACCUGUUUAAGGGGCACUAGCUGCCAAAUUCAUGUUCUUCAUCGAUUUUAAUAAAAUUCACAUAACGUGUAUAUAGUGUUGAAUUGUUUAUUAAAAUGUUGCGCACAAUCUUGGCUGAUAUGCAUAAAACCAUUAUAUUUCAUGACACUGCAUGAAAAAGAAAUUGACUUAUCGCAUAUUACCAGAACCAGAGACAUAUAUAUAUUGUAUCUAAUAUCUCUGCCAGAACUAAAAAAUAAACUACAGUAAGUCCACAUACACAUAAGAGGAUGUGAAUUAACAGAAUAGAGAACAAAGGACAAAGAAAAAAAGGAUUAAAGAAUAGUGAAAGAAAGAGAAUAAUGGAAAAAAAAGUGUAAGUUAUUAAAAAUAUAACUAAAAAAAGAAGACAGAAAAAAAGACACCCCUCCGAGACGAGCCUUACAUGCACUGUCACGGGUAGUAAGGUCGUCAUUCCGAGGAGCGUUUAGUACAGUGAUUUUGUCAUAGUUUGGAUAAGUUUGACAUGACGGUGUUAAUUCUUUUUGAUGACAAUCAAUGCAAUAAUGUAAACAUUGGGAUAUUUUGUAAACGGAACCUCUAAUCAUUAAUUCAAGUUGUAUAAAGUAAAUAUGCUAGUACAUAACAAGUGGUAUCAUAUAGUUAAUGACUUAACACAGAACAAAGCUUGCGUAUGUCAAAAUUUAAAACUUGCUAAUUGGCCUAUCGUGCAUAAAAAAAGUUAUUUUCUUACAGUCUGUUACAUUACAUAUAUCUUCGUGAUAUAACACUGCCGUCAAUUAUUCGGAAAAACACCUACUUUUGCAAUCAAUUCAAAAUUACUGAAAUAUCUGUGUCAUGGUUUGGUUCAUUUGUGUCAUGGUUAAGUUCAUGUUCGACAUGGUUCAGUUAUGUAAUUCUUGCCGUGUAUAAUGAAGAGUUACUACCAAAAUUAAGAAAAAUCGUUCCAUUUGAAACACAAAAGGACAAAAGAACGCACAUACAAUGUAGUAAUAUGUUUUCUUCGCGAUAUACGCUAUACAUGUAUAUGUAGUUUCAUUGAAUAGCAUUAUAUUAAACAAUAUUGAGAGGAUCCUAUUUUUUUAUAUAUGUUUCUUAAUUUUUAAAUCUUUUAUUGCCGCAGUCAUAUUAUAAACUUGAAUCCUAACAAUACUACGUUUAUUUAUUUCAGCAGCCAUGCAAUGUUUGACUAACCCCGAAAAUCUACUGCUAAACGUAAAAGUGCAAUCGUGAACCCAUAUGAUGGAUUUGCACAUGGUGCUCAAGGAAUUCGUCAGUACCAUAAACGCGCAUGUUAUGAUAUCUAAAUAAGUCAUUAUUUUGAAAAUGAGACAAUUUAUCAUUUAAACUUUAUGAAUGCUAGAAAUGAAUCAGUAUCACCAACAGCUUCAAAUGACUCGUCUAACAUUUUGCCUAAAGGAGCAAUAGAUGCAAUUGCCUCUGAAAAUUGUAUGAGUCCAAUUCAAUGCAUUUGUGUGAAAUUUGGAGCCUUAUCGUGUAAAUAAAUAACAAACAAAAAAACAAUUAUGAAUUUGACUGCGUUAUUUUUUGCUAAACAUAUUUAGUUACAUAAAUUGAAAAGAAGUUAUAAACUACGAAAUCAUAUAUUGAGAAUAGUUUGAUGGUUUCAGAUCUCUGGUUGCCUCUGUCUAAUUUAUUAACCCAUUUUAUAGAAACAGGCAGAUACAGAGUUUUGCCUAUUUAAUUUAUCCUAUUGUUGAAGAAUUCAUGUUUGUGUUGUUGGUUUGCUGUUUCAUUUAUGUAUUUCCUGCGUCAUCUUACAUUUGAUAUUACCUAGUAAAUUGAAAAUCAAAUAAGCAAAAAUGAUAAACGGCAAAUAUAGAUAGCAUACAAAUAUCAUUGAAUAUUCUAAGAAGUUCAAAUGAAGUGUACUUGGGAUAUAUAUCAACAAACUUACCAUCUGUUUCAUCUUCGUCCAUCUUAUUAUGCGUUCUGUCCUAUUACAAACGAUGAUUUCUUGUCUAGCCAGGUCAAAAUUAACAGUUUAAAUGUACAUGUAGCAGACAAUAUAACACGUGUUUCUUUGAUUUUCAAUCCUUUUUUGUUUCAAUCGCAUGUAAUAAUAUACCACCUCAUACUUAAAACUAGAUCGCAGGAGUUUUUUUCAGAUAGUAUAGAAACUAUAUUACAUAAAAAGUAAAAAAAUAUUUGAAAUAAUUUAAUGAUACUAUACACGAUAUAAAAAAAAAAGAUGUGGUAUGAUUGCCAAUGAGACAACUAACCACAAAAGACCAAAAUGACACAAACAUUAACAACUAUAGGUAACCGUACGACCAUUAACAAUGGGCAAAGCCCAUACCACAUAGUCAGCUAUAAAAGGCCUCGAUAAAACAAUGUAAAACAAUUAAAAUUAGAAAACUUGAUGCAUUUAUACAAUAUUACAAAGAUUAUUAUUGAUUCGUAAUAAUAAUUGAUAAACUUGAACAUUAUAUCGGCUUAAAUCCAAAAUUGGAGUUAUGAUCUUUCAUAUUUUAAAUUCGCACUUUAUAACUACUUUUUAUUGUAAUUUCACCUAUUAUAGUUUUAAAACCAAUAAGUUUUAAAACUGUUGUCCAUGUCACGCGUAACUAUUCGGUUUCGUAAAUGGUUGAAGACUUAUGAUGUCCUCUUAAUAUCUUGUGGUUAGUUUUGUAGUUGGGUUACUGUAUCAUGGACCUCUAACCCAACAUCUCCUUUUAUUCAUCAUAAACCGAUUCAAAAGUUAAAAUAAAAAAUCCAACAAAUGUAUAGUUUUCUAGAAAAAAAAACAAAAAAAAAAAAGAAUUACUUUUGGACUGGCUGCCACUUUUGAGUAGAAGUCUUUAGCUAUUUGACUAGUGAUGCCGCUCAUGAUUUUCCCGGCAGGGAUAUGGAUGAAAGAUUAUAUGUGAAACAGAAGCAACGCUUUGUCUUUUAUUUUUGUAAAAUUAUAAAGAGCAGUGAUUGUUAAAUUAUAUUGUAGAAAACAUGUUUACUUUACGCUUUGUCGAUCACACCCACUAAAUUUGGUUAAACAAGUUUUUUCUUCUUCUCAGGAAGUUAAUAUAUAGUGUAACUUCGUUCAAUAACAGGCGCUAUCAAUCAAAUUUUCAGUAUUAAAGUGAAACACAUAUAUAUUUAUUUCGAUCUAAACCAUGACAAUCUUGACCAAAACCAUGACGAAUUUCUAGACUCUUAACCGAACCAUGUCAUUCGCUUAACCAAACCAUGGCAAUUCCGAUAUCUUGCUUAUUCUGCGUUAAUUUCGUGAAAUAACAAUUCCAAUAUAGAUAGUUUGACUUCCAAUACAGAUUCAAGCAUCUUAUUUGCUUUUCAUCUGCUCGUGUGAAUAGAACUGAGGCAAUAGUUUGGGGAAACAACAUAAAUUAACCAUGUCAAACUUAUCCAAACUAUGACAAAAUCACUGUACUAAACGCUCCUCGAUAUGACGACCUUACUACCCGUGACUGUUAUUACCCAAGGUUAAUUUUACGGCGGCUCAUUUUAUUUUGGCUUAGAAAUAAACAUAAUUGACAAGUGUCCUUCCCCUGCAUUCUCGAUCCCACAUGUAAAUAGCACGGUGAUUUCAAAAAGACAUUGAUACAUCAUUACAACACUUGCCGUCAGUAUUUGAAUAUAUUGAUUAAGAAGGUAUAGAAGAUUAAUGCACGCACACUAUUAUCCACCACUGGCCUAAAUAGUUAGUCCGCAAACAACGAGGGUCAUAAAAACCCAGCACUUUGAACACAGCCACCGGCAUGAUGUGAAUCUGAAAGCUUCCCACUAUCCAUUCGUACCCAUAGAAAACUUUUGCAUUUCAUUUAUCAAAAAUGAAAUAUGUUGAUAUAGAUGGUAUAUAAGAAUUAUUGGGGAAUUCAAACCAUUCCUAUUGUAAGUGAUAAAACUAAAUUUAUAUCAGGGUGAUUGAAAUGAGGAAAAAAAAGGGGGGAUCAGGAGUUCAGGGCCCCCUGUUUGGGAAAAGAAUUGGUUGAUUAUAUAUGGAAUCACUGAGUCAUGACAGGAGCAGGCCCCUCUUAGGCAGUCGGUGGGCCCCACUUAUGAAAAAUUCUGGAUCCACCACUGUGGUCAUGGUGGUCUUCAGUUGUAUUAUCUUUUAAAAAAAAAAUUACACCUGUAUAGUGUGUAUAUUCUUUAGUGUAAAUCAAGGGAAAAUACUGUGAACUAUCUGUGCAUUGGGGCUUAUUAAAAGGUAUUUCGGGGGGAAGAAAGAAGGGAGGGUGAGUCCAUGGGAGGUAAUCCCCACCCCUUUCAAUUUGAGAAUAUGCUAUUAUCUUGUAAACGGUCCAGAUCCCCAUCCCUAAACCAUAUAUAUUCUUGAAUGGGACGAUAAAACAAAUCAAAUGAAAUUAAAAGGAGGUCUUUGGGGGUUACCCCACUCUGUUCAAUUUGAGAAUGUGCUAUUAUCUUGUGAACGAUCCAGAUCCCCACCCCUAAACCAUAUAUAUUCUUGUCGGGGACAAUAAAAUUAAUAAUGAAAUAAAAUAAAAGUGAAGUCCCACCCCCUCUAGUUUGAAAACUUGUAAACGGUCAAGAUCCCCACCCCUAAACCAUAUUUAUAUAUUCUUGUAUAGAACAAUAAAACAAAUCAAAGGAAAUAUAGGGAGAGUCCAUGGGGUUCACCCCCACCCCCACAUGUUUGAGAAACUUUUAAAUGGUUGAGAUCCCCUGUCAUCCAGUGGUUAGGUGAAAAAAUUUCAGGAUCCCUGAUCCCCACCGUCAAACCAUAUAUAUUUCUUGUAUGAGACAAUAAAACAAAUCAAAUGAAUAUAGGAUCCAUCCCCUUUGUCUUGGGUUGGGAACCCCCCUUUUUAAAAAUGGCUGGAUCCGCCCCGGCAUACCAUCUAGCUAGCUAUAAAGGCUUUAAAAAUAUGAAAUCAAACAAGGAAAUUAACAGUGUAGGCAACUGUUUUGAAUUUAAAAAAAAAGUCUUUUACAUAUAUAUAACAAUGUUAAAUUUUUUGUGCAUUUAUUUUUGCUUAUCGUAUUUUCAAUAAUGGACAAAAUUGCAUGAUUGAAUAUUGUAAUUUGAAAAAAAAUCAGCAUACAUGAUAUAAAAUGGGAAGUGGAAACUGGGAAUUUGACAAAGAGACAACAACCCAAUCAAAGAGCAGACAAUAGCCGAAGGUCACCUAUGGGUCUUUAAUGCAGUGAGAAAAAUUUGGCACUGGUCUUCAAUGCAGUGAGGAAAAUUUGGCACUGAUCUUCAGCUCAUAAAUAUGUAUCAGUAAUGAAAACGAGAUACAGCUUUCAGUUGUAUUAAUAAAAACCUCACAAUAAGUUCUGAAUAUCAGAAUAUACAGUAUUGCAAGAUUCUCUCAAAAUGUACACAUAGAGCUGAAAAACUGUCAGUGACUGUAAAAUUAAUCAUGCUUACAUUAAAGUCCAUGGAGUCCAUCUUAAUAUGCAUACUCUCGUACAAAGGAAUAUAAGUAUGCAAUAGACAUCAAGUUUUCAAAAAUAAGAGUAUCUAUGCCAUUAAUUUACGACAAGAUCUUAAUCAAGUAAUAAUUUCGGUUUGUUUAAAUAUUUCGGAGGUUAGUAUGACCUCCUCUUUGGUGAUGAUGUUUUCGUUUUAAAGUUGGGAAAAUUGUUUGUACAUGUACCAACAAAAAUAAAAACACAAAGUCAAUCUAGAAUUAUGUUUUUAUCAUUUUUUUAUGUUUAGGUUGUCAGCAAGAUGAAAAGGACAAGUAUGCAGUUCAAAAUUCAAAAUGUGGAUAAGUUGAGGUUCUAGGUCUUACCUUUGCAGAUUUUCAUAUUUUGCAUGAAUGAAUUCAAAGGUUAUAUGAUGGACAGCAGAGAAAGAAAAAAAAAAAACUCUUCAAUUAUCCUGCUCCUGGAUAAAUGUAAAACAUCUUGUUUUUCGGUAAGUUUUAUGCUCUGUUUUUUGAUAGUGUUAGUGCAUUCAUCUUUCCAGUCUUUCCUCUAAAUUGUAAGUUUUUGGUGAGUGUUCACCAUGAAUUUCAGUAAGUAACUUGUGGAUUUACAUGUAUAUACUCAAAAUUUAGUACUAAUAUUAAUGGGAUUUUAGCAUGACAUCCUGCCAAAUGCUUGUUAAUCAUGUUUAUGUUCCAGAACAAACAAGUAUUUGGACUGUACGCAUACAGUCUGCCCAAUUUUAAGAAGUUGGUCAAGUUUAUUACAAACAAAUGUACAGUACAGAUCAACAUAACUGAAAUCUUUAAUAGAUUAAUACAAAAAGUUUAAUUGCAGUUAAAAUAAAAACACAGGUUUGGUCGAGCUGGUACCAGACAGUACAAGUAUACUUAAAUGGUCUGACUGUACACAUAUGGUGGGACUGAUAGUUCUGGACCGUAAAAGUAAGAUCCGAAUACUGAUAUGGUCUGGAACAUUUAUACAUGUCUUAAAAUUAAUAUCAAACACAUUGGUGUUUUUGAACUUGGUAAUAAGUUAUUUGACUAUAAUGUUUUGGGAUAUCAAAAUCAAAAAUAUCCCAUUUUUACUUUUAAUAAAGAAGAAGAUUAUUGAUGUAUGUUUAAAUGUAUAUUAAAAUGAGACAGCAAGCCAACAACACAAAAAAUAAGGAUAAAACAUACAUAUUUUUUUGUAUCAAUGUUAUAAUUUCCAAUAUGUUCAAGGUAUUUUUUCAUUGAAAUAAAACACAAAUUGAAAUCUGUCUGAACUUCAAAAGCUUAAAGAAAUAUUGUUUCUGUUGUCUGCAUUUUGUAUAAUAUAUUGCAAAUUCUUGUGAAUAAUGGAAUGUUAUUAUAGUAAAAGUUUUAACAUUGAUCUUUAUACUGUAAAUUCAUAAAUUAUUGCGUGCAUUUAUUAUUGCAUUCUGUCAUUUUAAUUUUUUUCGAUUUUGAAAAAAUAAUGCGAGUUUAAAUUAUUGCGUUUACAACUCCGUUGCAUUUUUCGCAAUAAAAAAAAACUCGCAUUAAUUCCGAAUUUACAGUAUAUAUAUAUAUUAUGUAUAUAACUUGGGAAAAUACCCAAAUGUUUAUAAAGAAGAAUAAAUUAAUUGAUUGUUAUAUGGUAUUAGAAUAGGAAGAUGUGGUAUAUUGCUAAUUUGACAACCCUCCAUCAGAGACCAAAGGAUGUAGGCCGUUAGCAACUGAUGACACUGGACAACCUUUAACAAUCAGUAAAAUCCAUACCGCAUAGCUAUUUUUAUUGAAAAUCAUAUUAUUGCUACAUGUAUGAAAACAAUUUUGUAUAAUCCAUUACUUUAGAUUUUAUUGGUUCUUUUUCAGAAGGAUUGAAAUUCACCACCUAGAAUAAAUGGAGAAAACAUAGAAACAAGACCAGAAUAAAUUCAAAGACAAAAGUUGGAUCAGUUAUUAUUUUCAUCACUCAGUCAAUGAUUUGAAGUUCUUUUAAAUUCAAAAAAAUAUUGAAACCACAAUAAUGUCAAAGUUCUGUGCUGAAUGUCCAAAAAGUGGACUAUACCAUCAAACAAUGCUGGAUGAUAAGAAACUAUUAAUGUUUUGUGUUGAGGGA
rnacentral:lncRNA from 1 species